rnacentral:ncRNA from 2 species
AUGAUUAUAUCGUGAGAUAACAUUUGUUAACCGAAGAAGCAAUGCUAUAGUUCCACAGCUAUAUCAGAAACUUUCAGGUACCAGGAGCGAUAUAAGACG